ACACACACACACACACACACAUACACACACACAUACAUACACAUACAUACACACACACACAAAAUACACACACACACACAAAAUACACACACACACACACACAUAUGCACACAGAUACACACAUACAUUCUUUUCUUUUGGUGCCUGAUGAGGCGGCUUAGUGCAAAAAGUGCUCGUCUCUCAUUUAUAUACACACACUCACACACACACACACACACACACACACACACACACACACACACACACACACACACACACACACACACUCUCUCUCUGGAUGUCUCUCUCAUACCUUUUUGUGUUGGAGGAUAUUGGGACUGAAAGUUAAUGUUUUAACAGCACCCCCUACAGGACUUCAGGACUUCACACACUUCUAUUCUACAUGUAAUGAACUCAUCUCAGCAUGAUUAAUAAAACAGGUCUAUAUACAAGUACAACCUACAAAAAUAAAAGUUUUCUGUGCUCUUUUCUGGAA